AGGCCUCCAGCUGCCUCAAGGAAGGGCAUUUCUCGCAAUGCAAAGUGCGGAAGAGGGGAGCCAUACCGAGUGAAGGAUUAACCAGAGUCGGUUUGCAUAGAGGCGGCAAUGGAUAGAAUUUCAGAAAUGAGGCGGAAAGACAGGCCAGCCCCGCGAAAGAUGGAUUGGAGAGAGCUUCCCACACUCAACUCUAGAGAUACUGGACUUAAGGAAAUGUCCCCAUGGAACGCUGAGCCUUUCAUCUCCUCUUUGCUCGUCUCACGGCUUUGUUAGACACGAAACCAUCUUCUGGAAAAUGUCUUCCCUGACACCUCUCCUAGUUUUCUGAGUUUGGGUUGCUUUCCUCCCAGCACUCACGGAGAUCCAGGGUCUAUGUGAAACCUUAGAGGGAAGCCUGUUCUUUCCAGGAAAAGAAUCCCGGUGGGUUCUAACCUCAACCUGUAAAUCCACUAAGCAAGCUCCUACUGAACACCUAUGAUGCAAGCUCAAUCCAAGAGGCCAGCAGUCCGCAGGGGGAAGGCAACCAAAGCAAGAGGCACGUGAUUGCCUCGUGUUCAAGUUCCAAUAACCAGCCAGGCUUGUGUGUUGUAGUUUCAAAGUCAAUUCUAUUUUCAAAGCCUUAACACUGCUAUUCAGAGACUCUGGAGUGUGUGCAACCCAGUGGCCAGUGAAGACUGGAAAGUAGGCUGUCACUUAGUUCGAUUCUCAGACUCUUUUUAGGCACAAAAUUGCCUUGUAUUCAAGUUCCAAGUACCAAUCAGCCUUCCAUGUGUUGUUGUUUCAAAGAUAACUCUAUUUGCAAAGCCUUUACACUACUGUUCAGUUAUUUCCGGAGUGCGUGCGACUUCAGUGAGGACUGGAAAGUGGGCCAUUGUGCAGUUCAGCUCUCAGGCUCUUUGUAGGUCUGUUUUGAAUCCGUCAGUCCUCUCUACUCAUUCAGUACAUAUUUGCUGGAGAGAUGCUCUGUGCCAGACACUGUAAUAGGCCCAGGAAUUUCAGGACAAAUUUGGCCAGCCCAGACCUCAAGAAAAGCUACAUAUUCGCAACUCAGGGGUGCACUCGGUGAGUUGACAAACCACUUGUGGGUUUGCUUUCCACACUAUCAGCAGGACUUUCCGGUUACUUGGAACUCCACUUUACAGUGCCCUGACCAGAAAGCAAGCUGGGGUUUUACUUAUCCUGCUCUGCCCUACACUUUCCAGAGCUGUGCUGCAUUUUGAGUCAAGCUGCAGAAAGGAGAGAAAAGGAACAAUUGGGUCUUUUACCAGUGAGGCAUUCAGGAUGGCUGGUGCUUCCUCGUUUUCUUCGACAGGUGACUAAUGAAGCCAUUCUCCAUGUAGUACUGUAUGGACAUGGGGCCCCAAGUGACAACAUCGAUCCCACUACCUCUCACAUGCUAAGCGAGUACUCUACCACUUGAGCUCAUUCGUCACCUACCGCAAAACUUUCUGCCCUUUCCUUUAUUCAGGAGUAGAUGUGCCGCGAUUACCCACCAAUUCUGGAGGCUCAGAACAAAGGAAAUGUCUCGAUUAUUAAUGGGGAACCAGGACUCGACUUAAAGCGAGUCUACUCACAAAUGGCCAGGGGCAAGAGCAUGAUGGCUAUUCCUCUGCGAGGGAGACGGGAAAAACGUAACCAGGAGAAAGUGGGCACUGGAAAAGUCUGGUGCUGUAAGAUUUCACGUUCCAGAUUUUCAGGGAGAGAAGGGAGCACGUCCCAGCUGGGGAGCGCCCGCCCAGAGCGGCCUGCUAAUUUGGCACAGUUAUCCCAGGAUGACGAUCUUUUUUUUAAAAGAGGCGGGAUUAUCACUUGUUCCUUGCAGCUCUGGACUCCCGGGAAGAAGCGGCCACUCCAGGUCGGAUUCUGGGAGACCUGAGAAACCUGUUGUUUCCGCUGGGUUUCAAAUAGAGGACCUUUCAUGUGUUAGGCCAGCGUGGUAACUACUACACCACAGAAACCCUUUGCAUCGCAGGCUUUUAUAUUUUGAG